AAAAUUGUAAUUUACUUCUUCGAGGAAACUGUUGUAAGUAUAUGAGUUAUGAAUUAUGUAACAUUACCAAUAUACAUACGUUUGUUUGUUUUAGAGUAGAUGUAAUUAAGUACCCAGUAGAACAGUUGUACACUUGUGUGUGUGUUUCAACGAACCAGUGUAGAUAUCGGUGCUGUAAAAACCGAAUCUAACCAAGCUAAUCGUGCAUAGAUCUACGCAACUGACGAGUGCGAAUGCUUAAAACAAUGGCAAAACGAGUAGAUGUAAUUAAGUACCCAGUAGAACAGUUGUACACUUGUGUGUGUGUUUCAACGAACCAGUGUAGAUAUCGGUGCUGUAAAAACCGAAUCUAACCAAUCUAAUCGUGCAUAGAUCUACGCAACUGACGAAUGCGAAUGCUUAAAACAAUGGCAAAACGGUAUUUGUAAGCACUUUAAAUCAAAUGAAAAUAGCGUGUUGAAUUUUAUAGCGUUCAUGCAUGUAGUAAGUUUUAUAAAUGGUGGCUUAGCAAAAGAACAGCUGUGGGCUUUAGCAUUUAUUCAAUCGUGUUAAAGACUCAUCUCAUGACCAUACGGUUGGUGAAAAUGUAGGCAGAGCCUAAUCUAAACAGAUGUUAUUUACCUGGAGUGGCCAGGGUCUACCAAGGUGUUAAUUGCUAUAUCCCAUGGCACUCAAAGAAAAACACAGAGACAGAGGUGAUCCAGACAGAACAUGGUAGAAAUCUACCUGUCCCUGCUUUUUUAUAGUUUUGAUAUACACGGGACCUGUCUCAGGGACCUCUGUAGAGUUUCUGUGGUCAUAGUGUUUGAAUAAUGGUUGUAUUCCUAAGAGUAGCUGACACACAUUGUACAUCCACCCUCUCUCUCUCUCUCUCUCUCUGUCAUUGACUCACUGAAUAUAAAUAUAGAGGUGUCAUAAAUUGAUGAUUAUUGUGCAAAUUAUUGUUUGAUUUCUAAUUGUGUAAUUUACAAUACAUGUAGGGGAAUAAUUACAAUUAUAUUGAAAUUGAAUUGUUCAGGAGUCUUUUUAAAAACAAUUGAAUUACUAGAAAAUAGCAGCUGUGGACAGGUCAAUGCUAUCAUAACUCAGGUAUACUGGGCUUCCUCAAGAUCUAAAGAAUGCCUGUAGGUACUGACUGUUAUUGUUAUUAAAACACCUCUCUGGGGGUAGCUCCAGACCACAGUGUUUGCAGAUGUCACUCCAUCUGAGAUCUAUUGUUAAAUGUUUGAUUGUGUUUUGGGGGUGUUAACUUAAAAUUGGGUCUUUAACGUUCAUUAUGACAUAUGCGCUAACUUACUUCCGGGAAAAUUGUGAAAAAACCAUUAAUCUGCCAGACGCACAACUAGAUCAUGUGUUAACACGGUCUUCCGUGCCAUUGAACCCUCUUGAUUGCAGUAUUGCUAUAACUCAUUUCUUUUUAGGAUUCAUGUUCAUAAAACAAAGUCACUGCUAUUAUGUGGAUUUGAAAGGCCGACCUUACAUGUAACACACACACCAAAAAUGCUAAUUAAGUUGAAAUUCAAAAAAAUAUAUGAGCAUCAUAGACAGGUAAAAACAGGAAUGCUCUAGUUUAGAAUUCAGCUAAUUAUGAUUUUGAAUACCUAGAGAGUAAGUAGUAUGUAUGAGGCAGAAGACUGGAGGAUGUGUAACUAAUAUACGGUGUGCAUUAUCUCCCAGGACUAGACGCUACAGUUAAAUUAGCGACUUACAUGUUUUCGUUCUUGUAGUAUCAGAUUCUGAUUUAUUUAUUUUUUGGCCGGGUUGCACGAAGUGCAAAUCCGGUCUAUAGUAUGGUGAAGUGCUGGCGGGCGGGCGGGCAGUUGGGGAAAUUUUGUGAAAUCAACUCCUCCUACAGUUUUUAAUGUACAACCUUGAAACUUUGCAGAAAGUAAGUAUAUAUAUUGAAGUUAUGCACUAGGUUUUUUGAAGUCUGACCUUUGUCGAAUAUGGGCGCUACAGCAAAAAGUUGUUACUAAAAAUAGAGUUCAACUUGAAAAAGGUAAAUGAGAUUAUCUUUUGUGGUUAAAUUUAGUUGCACUACCUCUGAGGAAAAAUUCAAUUAUAUAUGAAUGUCAAAUUUUUUGGGCAUGAGUUGUAAAUUUGCAAUAGAAAUAGAGAAAUUCUGUUUCUUUAUCAUAUAAUCAUAUACAAUUCAAGCACCUGAAGUUAUUGUUCAUUUUAGUUGUUAUUACUUAAUAUUACAUAUAUCAGCAGUGCUCCAAGUUGCGAGUAAAACGGUUGCAUUUGCGACCAGAAAAUAAAUUUUGCGACUAGAGAUUAUAAUUAAGUCGCAUUUUCGCGAGUGAAGAAAAUUUGGGCAACCAGUAAAAUUUUAGAAUCGGGAUCAGAAGUCUGAAUAAAUAUUUUUAGUCUAGGUCAAAACAAUCAAGAUGGCGGGAAAACGAGGUUUAGAGCACUUUGGAUUUAUCAAUAGUAAAAAAACAGAAGCCUCAACCUUGUACAUGUAACAAAGAAAUUCAAGAAUCACACGGGGAAAGUUCUGCAUCAAAAUAUGGCGUAGCAAUGUCUAAAGAGAAAUGCAAAAGUAAAGGAAGAACCCCAGUCCUGAAAUGGCGGAGGAAAUUUUCGUGAUGGCAAAAUGUUUUGCAGAAUUUGUGAGGCCAAUAAGCCAGCAACGUCCACAAUUUCUAGACAUCCAUUGCCCUAUUUCGCCACGACCGAGUGUACAUCUUUCAAACGUGGAAAUGUGACUAUUCACGGUAACAGUAAGAGACAUGUCGUUGUCCGUGACUGCAUUAUUAGCAGUAAGUCGAGCGGGGCAACAGAUAACUACCACCAAAUAAAUCCCUACCCAAAUUAUUUACUCUAAAUAUUGCAACCCGGCCAAUUGAGUCUUUGACCCAUUUUUUUUUUUUUUAGAUGUUUGUGUAGAUAAAUCCUUGUAAGAUAAUUACCAAUAUUUACAUUCAUAACGUUUUUUCCCUUAAUGACCUAAAACUGAAGGAGUCCCGUGAGGAUCCGGGUUAGAAUAGGUCUUUGGUAUCCCUUGCUUGUCGUAAGAGGCGACUAAAUGGGGCGGUCCUUCGGAUGAGACCGCAAAAACCGAGGUCCCGUGUCACAGUUUUAACCAUUAUUAUUGAUAAGUCAUAUGAAGAUCGAUCGACCUUAAAGUGACGAAAUGGUUAAUGAUGAUAUAUUUAAGUGCUCAAAUCUAGUUAUAUAUAUAUAUUUUAAAUUUAUAAAAAUAUAAACAAAAUGUUUUUUCGUUGUUGUUUCAUCGGGAGAUGAAGGUAGCAAUCAUCGCAGAAAAAAAUACACAACCCUUAAGCGGGUUAUGGAUUUUUUUUCUGCAAUGCUCGCUACCUUCAUCACCCAAUGAAACAAGAAAGAAAUCAUUUUAUUGUUUAAAUAAUUAUGACCAUUGUUUGUUUUACGUUCCUUCGAGAAUUUAUAUUUACAUUUCACUUGCUUACAUGUACAUGGUCAAGCGGUCUAGCGUGGUGAUAGGAGGUUAUGUUCCACGGGCUGUGAGUUCAACUACAGGUUCAACGUUUGAUAUCAGUGGGAGGAGGAGUACACACUACAAAUUGUAUAAAUAAGUCACGGUGCUGACUGCCACAGCUACGGGAAGGACCGUCCACUCCGAGUACUACCAUUUCGUAACAAAAAUUUAAAUCCUAUACCCAAAAUGGCAGUGUGGGUCACAACUACCGGUUCCUACAUCCCAGAGGGCGCUAUAAGAGCUGGUUACGAAGCAGAUGGCAGGCCACUUUUUAUUGCCCGGGCAUCAAUCGACGGAAUCAUGACGCCUGGAAAAUGCGGAUUUCACAUUCCCGGGGCUCAUAUCCCAUACGGCAUGAAAGAACAAAUUAUCAACCAAUACGAGAUACUGGUUCAUCCCGUCAAUUCUACUGGAUUUUAUGAAUGGCAGAGAGCGUCUCACGGGAAUGUCCCACCCAAUGCCUACCGGACGCACCAUGAAACAUAUAUUGGCCGAGCGUACGUUUCUGGAGGUCUAGUUCCGGGGAAAAUCGCUACAGGCCAUCCCCACAGAUGCGCAUAUGUCGGCUUUGGAGGGAAUGAAAUAAGUGUUAAAGAGUAUGAAGUCUUGUGUCAGGUCAAGUAAAGCCUGGUUUGUCUGUGAAAUAAUUCUCAAUCAACUCCAUAGAGACGUACUUGUUGAGUUUGGACGUUAUACUUGAAUCUUUCCGUAUCUUCUUGAUCUUAGUCAUAAGUACUUGUAUCUAGAACUUAAAUACUCGUACUUAUUCUUAUAUAUCAAUCUAGCAUUUAAUACUAUAGAUAUUUUCUUAGCACUAAAAUUAACAGAGACAGUGGUACUCUAGUUGGCUGAUUCUUUUUAAAAAUAAAGCAUCAAUUGUAUUUUAA